GACAGAGGGUGCAAGCGUUGCUCGGAUUUACUGGGCGUAAAGCGUACGCAGACGGUGAGAAAGGUCGAAUGUGAAAGCCCCGGGCUCAACCCGGGAACUGCAUCCGAAACCAUCUCGCUAGAGUAUGAGAGAGGGAAGCAGAAUUCCUGGUGUAGAGGUGAAAUUCGUAGAUAUCAGGAGGAAUACCUGCGGCGAAGGCGGCUUCCUGGCUCAUUACUGACGUUCAGGUACGAAAGCGUGGGUAGCAAACAGG
rnacentral:rRNA from 1 species